UACGGAGGGUGCAAGCGUUAUCCGGAUUUACUGGGUUUAAAGGGUGCGUAGGUGGGCAGGUAAGUCAGUGGUGAAAUCUCCGAGCUUAACUCGGAAACUGCCAUUGAUACUAUCUGUCUUGAAUUAUCUGGAGGUGAGCGGAAUAUGUCAUGUAGCGGUGAAAUGCUUAGAUAUGACAUAGAACACCAAUUGCGAAGGCAGCUCACUACGGAUAUAUUGACACUGAGGCACGAAAGCGUGGGGAG
rnacentral:rRNA from 1 species